rnacentral:piRNA from 1 species
CACAAGAGUCGCCCUGUGACUACUAUUUUGA